GUGGGGAAUUUUGGACAAUGGGCGAAAGCCUGAUCCAGCCAUGCCGCGUGCAGGAUGAAGGCCUUCGGGUUGUAAACUGCUUUUGUACGGAACGAAAAGACUCUGGUUAAUACCUGGGGUCCAUGACGGUACCGUAAGAAUAAGCACCGGCUAACUACGUGCCAGCAGCCGCGGUAAUACGUAGGGUGCAAGCGUUAAUCGGAAUUACUGGGCGUAAAGCGUGCGCAGGCGGUUAUAUAAGACAGAUGUGAAAUCCCCGGGCUCAACCUGGGAACUGCAUUUGUGACUGUAUAGCUAGAGUACGGCAGAGGGGGAUGGAAUUCCGCGUGUAGCAGUGAAAUGCGUAGAUAUGCGGAGGAACACCGAUGGCGAAGGCAAUCCCCUGGGCCUGUACUGACGCUCAUGCACGAAAGCGUGGGGAGCAA
rnacentral:rRNA from 1 species